GUCGUCAGCUCGUGCCGUGAGGUGUUGGGUUAAGUCCCGCAACGAGCGCAACCCUUGCCCUUAGUUGCCAUCAUUCAGUUGGGCACUCUAGGGGGACUGCCGGCGUCAAGCCGGAGGAAGGCGAGGACGACGUCAAGUCAUCAUGGCCCUUAUGCCCAGGGCUACACACGUGCUACAAUGGGCGGUACAGAGGGUCGCGAACCCGUGAGGGCAAGCCAAUCCCCAAAAGCCGUCCUCAGUUCGGAUUGGAGUCUGCAACUCGACUCCAUGAAGGUGGAAUCGCUAGUAAUCGCGGAUCAGCAUGCCGCGGUGAAUACGUUCCCGGGCCUUGUACACACCGCCCGUCACACCAUGGAAGCCAGUGGUACCGGAAGUCGGUGGGCUAACCCGCAAGGGAGGCAGCCGCCUAUGGUAUGAUUGGUAACUGGGGUGAAGUCGUAACAAGGUAGCUGUAGGGGAACCUGCGGCUGGAUCACCUCCUUU
rnacentral:rRNA from 1 species